CCUACGGGUGGCAGCAGUGAGGAAUAUUGGUCAAUGGGCGCGAGCCUGAACCAGCCAAGUCGCGUGAGGGAAGACGGUCCUCUGGAUUGUAAACCUCUUUUGUAGGGGAGAAAAAGACGCCACGCGUGGAGUUCCGAGAGUACCCGAAGAAAAAGCAUCGGCUAACGCCGUGCCAGCAGCCGCGGUAAUACUGAGGAUGCGAGCGUUAUACGGAUGUAUUGGGUAUAAAGGGAGCGUAGAUGGGUUGUUAAGUCAGUUGUGAAAGUUUUCGGCUAAACCGUAAAAGUGCAAUUGAGACUGGCAGUCUAGAGUACAGUUGAGGUAGGCGGAAUUCGUGGUGUAGCGGUGAAAUGCGUAGAUAUCACGAAGAACUCCGAUUGCGAAGGCAGCUUACUAAACUGCCACUGACAUUGAUGCUCGAAAGUGUGGGUAUCAAACAGGAUUAGAUACCCCAGUAGUC
rnacentral:rRNA from 1 species